ensembl:lncRNA
GGGGAGGGAGGUGUGUGGGGAGGGAGGGAGGGGAACUAUUGCAUUCAAUAAGUGAACUGAACAAGGAGCUGGUUUUGGAGAAUACGACAAAAUGGCUGUGGUUGCACUCUACCAAUCGGGGCGUUUAAAAAACGAAACUAUCUGAAGGGUUUGCAGAGGGAAAACAUCAUCACACAACCGGUCCUGGUGGCUUGCCGGUUAUAAACCGCUGAACGGUCGGUUCUCCGGGAGAGGCUGAAGCGAUCAGCGCCUUUUUUUUCUCAAUGCACAACAACGCCUCUACUAGCGGUGUGCAGUGAAUGAGGAGCGGGGCGGUUGCGUGGACCGGACCCACCGGUCGGCUGAGAGUGCGCAGGAGGGGGGGGGGGGGCACUGGUCGGUUAACAGCGGCGUUUAACAUUUCAAAGGGGUUAAGCCCGCCAACGUUCCAGCCUACCGGAGCCCAUCGAGCCCGGACGAUGGGAGCCAACGCCGUCGCCGUCGCCGUGCCGACGCCGACAGAGAUCCGCUCAACUUGGAGAGCCGACAGCGCCGCCAUAGGAGAUCCGAAGCUGCGUUUAAUAAUUGAUUCAUUAAUCAUCUAUAAGUCCAUUAAAUCAGAGGCUUCCUCUGGAAUUCUAAUCGCCCAGCCCCGGCAACGAUAAAGGCGCAGUAGGGCGGCCUUAUCUUUGUGAUUGCCUCUUCUUCCUGCUCCUCCUUUAAAAGAAAAACAACUGCAAAAUUAUUAAUGCGGACGGGGUAGGGAGACGGACGGACUACUCGACGUAGUGGAGGGAUGAUAAAUAAAGCAAAUCCUUUUAAAUGCUAAUGAAAAAUGGCUUUUUGAAAGUAAGCAUCACAACAAGUCUGUUAUGUUUUUGAGGGCAAUAUAGCUUCAAAUAGCUUCAUCAUGGGGAGCUGCCGGUGGUUAGACUGCAAACAAACGGUGGAGGGGAGAUCAAAGCCUCUGGUUGUUUUGUGAAGUAAGUCAGAGGGGGAUGAGCGUG